rnacentral:tRNA from 1 species
GCCCAGAUCGCAUAAUGGUAUUGCGCCUGUCUCGAGAACAGGUUUCCGCAAGGAUAUCCAGGUUCGAUUCCUGGUCUGGGCG